rnacentral:misc_RNA from 1 species
UCAAACUUGGUCAUUUAGAGGAAGUAAAAGUCGUAACAAGGUUUCCGUAGGUGAACCUGCGGAAGGAUCAUUAACGAAGCAUUAGAGAGGUUGUAGCUGCCUUGAAAGAGGAUGUGCACGCCUUUCAAAUCUUCUAUUUACCACCUGUGAACUCUUGCGGAGAUCGUGAUAACUCUCACAUGAAAAUUGUGGAUUAGUAGGCUUGCUAAGUGCUUGCUUGCGAUUUCGCGGUCUCUUGCUUUUACACACACUUUAAAAGUUUUGAAUGUUGAUUUACGGAUUGUAAUGAUCUGUAAUAAUUUAAAUACAACUUUCAGCAACGGAUCUCUUGGCUCUCGCAUCGAUGAAGAACGCAGC